GUGGGGAAUCUUGCGCAAUGGGCGAAAGCCUGACGCAGCCAUGCCGCGUGAAUGAUGAAGGUCUUAGGAUUGUAAAAUUCUUUCACCGGGGACGAUAAUGACGGUACCCGGAGAAGAAGCUCCGGCUAACUUCGUGCCAGCAGCCGCGGUAAUACGAAGGGGGCUAGCGUUGCUCGGAAUUACUGGGCGUAAAGGGCGCGUAGGCGGACAGCUUAGUCAGAGGUGGAAGCCCAGGGCUCAACCUUGGAAUUGCCUUUGAUACUGGCUGUCUUGAGUUUGGGAGAGGUGAGUGGAACUCCGAGUGUAGAGGUGAAAUUCGUAGAUAUUCGGAAGAACACCAGUGGCGAAGGCGACUCACUGGCCCAAUACUGACGCUGAGGCGCGAAAGCGUCGGGAGCAAACAGGAUUAGAAACCCCGGUAGUCC
rnacentral:rRNA from 1 species